GACUCAGGCAUCUGAAGCUCAAAAGCCCAGGUCUUGGAGCUCAAGAGUCCGGAAAGGUUUUGCAGCCUUAAAUACCAAGUGUUAAGCUCUACAACUCUGCUCUCUUCUGCUGUAAUCACCCAAUCAGGAGGCAACAGGUGCCUCAUGGUCCAGUUUAGCAGCUCCAAGGGAAUAACAAGAGAUACUGGAGGAAAAUGCAUAACUUAAUAUCAUCCAAGUACCCACUUAUUUGCCAUUCUCAGGAGGUGUUAACACUGGACGAGCGGGCAACUGGCUCUUCAGGCUUGGAACCAACAGGGGGCAGCAGAGAGCAGAGAAGAAUUGGUAGGCUAGGAAAACUUCCAAACUUC
rnacentral:lncRNA from 1 species